rnacentral:rRNA from 1 species
AUGCGGCCUAUCACAAAGGAGUCUCGCCACUGGUUGUUAAAACCGAUCACCUUCGACCAUCAGGAUUACUCCGGAAGUAUCCGGAACGCAGGUUGGACCGCCUUGGUAUUAGAUCCGAUAAUCGAUAGAUUCCACUUUACACAAGUCCUGAUGGACAGCGGCAGUGGUCUAAACCUUCUAUAUCAGGACACAGUCCGCAAAAUGGGGAUGGACCCAACAAAAAUUCGCCAUAGCAACACUUCCUUUAAAGGAGUAACGCCAGGCCCGGAUGCCCAUUGCACGGGUUCUCUCCUGCUAGAAGUAAUGUUCGGUCCCCCCGAUAACUUGCGCCUCGAAAAGCUAACCUUCCACAUCGCCCCAUUUUCAAGUGGCUAUCAAGCACUACUGGGACGCGAAGCUUUCGCCGGCUUUAACGCAAUACCGCAUUAUGCAUCUCUCACGCUCAAGAUGCCCGGCCCACGAGACAUCAUCUCACUAAAGGGAAACAAUGAAUGUUCCUCGCGCGUAGAAGACUAUACGGCUGCCUUGACAGCCACACAUUAA